CAAUCACGGCUUUCUUAUUGCGGUGAGUGACGGCGGCAACUAUGAAAAAUGUGGGAUCACAAAUGGAUCUCUUGGCACUAACAAAAUACUCUGACAUUUAUUAUGACAUUUGUGAGGGCAUUCACAGCAGAAGAAAGGAGUACAACAGAAUCAGUGAAAAACUACACUACAUCCAAACAUUGACAAACAGCCAAUGUGCAAAAGGAGACAAAAUGUUCAAAAAAGGUUAAAUAAAUAAAACUGAGAACAUGAGUUGUAGAGUUCUUGAAAGUGAGUCUAUGGUUUUGCAGAAUCAAUUCAGAAUUGAAGUAAGUGAAGUUAUCCACACUUGUGCAGGAGCCUGAUGGUUGCAGGGUAAUAAAUGAGAUUGAACCUGUGGUGUGGAAUCUAAGGCUCCUAUACCUCCUAUCCGGUGGGAGCAGGGAGAAUAGAGCAUGGCCUUCAACAUGGGAGUCUUUGACAAUGUUUGCUGAGGUUAUGUCACAAGUGAAUGACUUUGAAUCCGAAUUGACCAUUUGUGAAACAGGAAAGGAGAGCUGGCUGAAAUUGUUGAAUUCAGUACUAAGUUCUAACUGCUGCAGCUGACCUGGAUAGAAGGUGUUAUGCUGUUAAGCCAAAGAUGGAAUGGAAGUGGAAAUGAAGAAUCAAAGUGACAUGUGACUGCAGCUCAGAUUCCUUUUGCAGACUGAAUGGAAGUUUUCUACAUGGUGGUCACAAAAACUGUGUUUGGUUUCUCUCAUGCAGAGGAUAUCUUAUUAAGAUGGUAUCUGGGAGUGCAGUUAGACGAGAAGCUAGACUGGACUGCCAACACAGAUGCCCUGUGCAGGAAAGCACAGAAUCGACUGUACUUCCUCAGAAGGCUGGUGUCAUUCAAUGUUUGUAGUGAGAUGCUGAAGAUGUUCUAUCGGUCAGUUGUGGAGAGCUUCCUCUUUGUGUUGGCGUGGUGGGGAGGCAGCAUUAAGAAGAGGGACCCCUCACGUCUUAAUAAGCUGGUAAGGAAGGCGGGCUCUGUCGUGGGCACAGAACUGGAGAGUAUGAUAUCGGUGGCAGAGCGGAGGGCGCUGAGUAGGCUACGGUCAAUCAUGGAAAACCCUGAACAUCCUCAGCACAGCACCAUCCAGAGACAGAGAAGCAGCUUCAGUGGCAGGUUGCUGUCAAUGCAAUGCUCCUCAGACAGGAUGAAGAAAUCAUUACUCCCCAACGCCAUUCGGCUCUACAAUUCAACCACCAGGGGCAAGACAUGUUAAGUGCCGGGGUUAGGACUGAGCUUAAGUUACCACUCAAUGCACUUUAGUAAACUAUUUAAGAACUUUUUAAAAGCUAUUUAUUAAUGCUUCUUGGGAGGGUGAUUUUAGAUGCAUAUCAUAUUUAUACUGAGUUAAAUACUGUAUGUAAUUAGUUUUGCUAUAAUAAGUGUAUGGGA